rnacentral:lncRNA from 1 species
UACCGGAAGCUCAGGAGAACAGCCCGCAGCCUACGCCGCUGGGCCCUGGUCACCGGUUUGGUUAGUCUCGGGAUCUCGAGUCUGCCAGGAGUCUAACAACGCAGUUCUCCUCUUCGGCGGUCUUAGGUUUCCUCUUCAAUGGCACAGAUUUUUGCCCAUCUGUCCUUCUUUUUCUCCCUGCCUUUAGUUCCUGUGAUUCAGGUGCUUACAGCACGGAGACCUGCCACGGCGCACAGGGGCUUCUCUAUGGAUACUCAUGCCUAAGUCACCAGAUCUUCCAUUUGGCUCUACCCUGCAAAGGUCAUUUCAAGAUUUUCUCUACUUCCAAGCACGAAACAUUUAAUUCCUUCUAGGAGUCCUUUGUGACCCCUGGAGAAGAAAAGCUACUUGGAAAGGGGAGAAAAGAAUUGGGAGAAUAUCUAAAUCUCUUCUAUAUAUGAGGUGAAGGGCCAUGCCUGGCAGACUACAUGGGGAAUCAGAGGAUCAAGAGGAGUGAAGAGAGGAUCCCUGGAGGAAUGCCCGUCCUCCCUCCACUGACAGCAGCCACAGUUACUAACAGGGUCUUUCUGAUGAGGA